rnacentral:misc_RNA from 1 species
AAGUCGUAACAAGGUCUCCGUAGGUGAACCUGCGGAGGGAUCAUCAUAGAAAACAAUAUUCUAAACCCCAAGUGUUAGGAGAAAAGAGGGGAGGGGGAAAAAGGGGUAUUACUCUUUUUCUUUCUUUCCUUCUUUUUUCCUGAUGCUUCAAACAAACGAUCACAACUAAAGAGAGAAAAUUGUGUGGAUACCUGGGUUUUUUUUUCGAGGGGAAUUACAAGUGCUUGCCUGAUAAUCUGAUUAUUGGAAUUGGAAAGAGAAAACAAUAUACAACUUUCAACAACGGAUCUCUUGGCUCUCA